AUGUGUUCUGUUAUAAGGGAGAAAACAAACUUUGCAGGGUCUUCAUGCUCAGUUAUGUGGUACCUGUCCAUAGUAUUUACCUUCACAGUAUAUGGAACCCAUGGUUGUGUGAUAACCAGUCCAGACCAGAAGGCUAAUGCUGGGACAGAUGUCCAUUUGUCGUGUAAUUUCUGGCAAUGUCCUGGACCUCUGGACAUCAUGUCUCUUAGUGUGGAGUGGGAAUUCAAGGAUAUCUCCUCUGAGCCAAAAAUAAUCCUCUACUACAUCAGAAAUCGAACUGUACCACUUCCUGGUGUGUUUUUUCAGGGAGAUGUCGAAUUAGGGAGUUUUGAUAUACAUCUCCCGUCUGUGACCCAUGAGAACAGUGGAACUUAUUUAUGUAGAUUACGUCUCAAUGGCAUUUUUCACAAGAACCAAACACACCUUAUUGUGCAAUCAGCACUGACCAGGAGAAACAAUCCAGGUGUAAAUCAUCUGCAGAAACGUCCUCCCUGGUGGCUGCCCCUGGCCUCAGUGGCAUCAGUGGCUGGGUUUGUGUUACUAAUUGGUACAGUUUUUUGGGGGAGGAAAGCUUACACGUCAACCCAGAGAGAAAACAACUCAAAGCAAAAUAUGGAAGAGGCUAAAACCAGCACUGAUGCUGAAGACAAGGGAAUUAUAUAUAAGGUGGGAUUCAGCAUGCCUGACCUCGCAGACGUGAACAGUCCUCCUAGCAGUCCAGAUAACAUCUAUGUUACCAUGCAUGGUUUGCCAUUCGCACCAGAUGUUCCUGCCACAGCUGGACGCAACAGACGUCUUCCCUCUGAUUGGCAGCUGAAGGAUGAGGAACCCGUAUUUGUCCGCUGAUACCAAGAUUUAUUAGUCAGAUCAUGCCACUUGAAAGAUGAGACACAGAAUAAGUGAUUAUUUAAAUUAGUAAGAGUAAGUAUUGUCAGAUAUGCAUUAUAUAGUCCCCAAACAGACUGUUUUGUGUAUUAUUUUUCAAUACUCACCAGCUGUACAUCACUGUACAUUAUCCCUCAUAAUAAAUCUGUUAUUUCCUCAUGCA
ensembl:lncRNA